AUGAACGCUGGCGGCGUGCCUAAUACCUGCAAGUCGAGCGAACGGACGAGAAGCUUGCUUCUCUGAUGUUAGCGGCGGACGGGUGAGUAACACGUGGAUAACCUACCUAUAAGACUGGGAUAACUUCGGGAAACCGGAGCUAAUACCGGAUAAUAUUUUGAACCGCAUGGUUCAAAAGUGAAAGACGGUCUUGCUGUCACUUAUAGAUGGAUCCGCGCUGCAUUAGCUAGUUGGUAAGGUAACGGCUUACCAAGGCAACGAUGCAUAGCCGACCUGAGAGGGUGAUCGGCCACACUGGAACUGAGACACGGUCCAGACUCCUACGGGAGGCAGCAGUAGGGAAUCUUCCGCAAUGGGCGAAAGCCUGACGGAGCAACGCCGCGUGAGUGAUGAAGGUCUUCGGAUAGUAAAACUCUGUUAUUAGGGAAGAACAUAUGUGUAAGUAACUGUGCACAUCUUGACGGUACCUAAUCAGAAAGCCACGGCUAACUACGUG
rnacentral:rRNA from 1 species